AUUGAACGCUGGCGGCAGGCCUAACACAUGCAAGUCGAGCGGAUGAAGGGAGCUUGCUCCUGGAUUCAGCGGCGGACGGGUGAGUAAUGCCUAGGAAUCUGCCUGGUAGUGGGGGAUAACGUCCGGAAACGGGCGCUAAUACCGCAUACGUCCUGAGGGAGCAAGUGGGGGAUCUUCGGACCUCACGCUAUCAGAUGAGCCUAGGUCGGAUUAGCUAGUUGGUGGGGUAAAGGCCUACCAAGGCGACGAUCCGUAACUGGUCUGAGAGGAUGAUCAGUCACACUGGAACUGAGACACGGUCCAGACUCCUACGGGAGGCAGCAGUGGGGAAUAUUGGACAGUGGGCGAAAGCCUGAUCCAGCCAUGCCGCGUGUGUGAAGAAGGUCUUCGGAUUGUAAAGCACUUUAAGUUGGGAGGAAGGGCAGUAAGUUAAUACCUUGCUGUUUUGACGUUACCAACAGAAUAAGCACCGGCUAACUUCGUG
rnacentral:rRNA from 1 species